ACCGUACCAACAAAUGCAUCGUUCUGGGAGCACCUGCGCUUGGUCAAGGAGGCCAUUUUCGAUGUCGGGAUGCGCGACACUUUCCUGAACACCAAUCUCUCAUGGGUGCACUACAGCCCCCUGGCUCACGAGCCCUUCUUUGCGUGGGAAAUCGGAUCUAUUUACAUACCGCCACUGUUCUACGAGAGGAUACGGACCAUGACUGACGUCAAGGACGACGAGGGCAUUCCAUUGGAUCUUCCCUUAUUCUGGUGGGCCGUGCUUCGUCAAUUCGCGACAAUCCUGUCACAACGAGG
rnacentral:lncRNA from 1 species